CCUGACUGCUAUCGGAUUGAUACUAAGCCAUGCGAGUCUUUGUAGUAAUACAAGGCAGACGGCUCAGUAACACGUAGUCAACCUACCCUAUGGACGAGAAUAAUCUCGGGAAACUGAGCAUAAUUCUCGAUAGAUCAUAAUGCCUGGAAUGGUUUAUGGUUAAAAUGAUUCGUCGCCAUAGGAUGGGACUGCGGCCUAUCAGCUUGUUGGUGAGGUAAUGGCCCACCAAGGCGAUUACAGGUACGGGCUCUGAGAGGAGAAGCCCGGAGAUGGGUACUGAGACACGGACCCAGGCCCUAUGGGGCGCAGCAGGCGAGAAAACUUUGCAAUGUGCAAAAGCACGACAAGGUUAAUCCGAGUGAUUUCUGCUAAAGAAAUCUUUUGCCAGUCAUAAAACCACUGGUGAAUAAGGGGUGGGCAAGUUCUGGUGUCAGCCGCCGCGGUAAAACCAGCACCUCAAGUGGUCAGGAUGAUUAUUGGGCCUAAAGCAUCCGUAGCCGGCUUUGUUAGUUUUCGGUUAAAUCCAUGUGCUCAACACAUGGGCUGCCGAAAAUACUGCAUGGCUAGGGAGUGGGAGAGGUAGACGGUACUCAGUAGGAAGGGGUAAAAUCCUUUGAUCUAUUGAUGACCACCUGUGGCGAAGGCGGUCUACCAGAACACGUUCGACGGUGAGGGAUGAAAGCUGGGGGAGCAAACCGGAUUAGAUACCCGGGUAGUCCCAGCUGUAAACGAUGCAGACUCGAUGAUGCAUUGGCAUAAUAGCCAAUGCAGUGUCGCAGGGAAGCCGUUAAGUCUGCCGCCUGGGAAGUACGUACGCAAGUAUGAAACUUAAAGGAAUUGGCGGGGGAGCACCACCAAGGGGUGAAGCCUGCGGUUC
rnacentral:rRNA from 1 species